rnacentral:lncRNA from 1 species
AAAAAGAUCCUUUUGCCCUUCUGCUCCACGGGAGGUUUCUGUCCUCCCUGAGCUCGCCUUAGGACACCUGCGUUACCGUUUGACAGGUGUACAGCCCCAGUCAAACUCCCCACCUGGCACUGUCCCCGGAAAUGAUGAGUUCAUGUCCUUUGUAGGGACAUGGAUGAAAUUGGAAACCAUCAUUCUCAGUAAACUAUCGCAA